AACGGAGGGGGCUAGCGUUAUUCAUCCUGAUUGGGCGUAAAGGGUAUGUAGGUGAUGAUAAAUGUUUUUUAUAAAAGCUCAAGUGAAAGCCUUGAAAACUUAAUUAACAUUGAUAAAUUAGAGACUGACGGGGUUGGCGGAAUUACUAAUGUAGAGGUAAAACGCCACAAUAUUAGUGCGAAUACCAGAGGCGAAAGCGGCUUUCCUUAAGGUCUGACACUGAGGUACUAAAGCAUGGGGAUCAAACGGG
rnacentral:rRNA from 1 species